rnacentral:rRNA from 1 species
GAUGAACGCUGGCGGCGUGCCUAAUACAUGCAAGUCGAGCGAAGCGGGGACGGGUGAGUAAUACGUGGAUAACCUCCUAUAAGACUGGGAUAACUUCGGGAAAACGGAGCUAAACCGGUUACUUAUAGAUGGAUCCGCGCUGCAUUAGCUAGUUGGUAAGGUAACGGCUUACCAAGGCAACGAUGCAUCGCCGACCUGAGAGGGUGAUCGGCCACACUGGAAAUGAGACACGGGCCAUACUCCUACGGGAGGGAGCAGUAGGGAAUCUUCCGCAAUGGGCGCAAGCCUGACGGAGCAACGCCGCGUGUGUGAUGAAGGUCUUCGGGGCGUAAAACUCUGUUAUGAGGGAGGCGUUACCUAAUCAGAAAGCCCCGGCUAACUCCGUGCCAGCAGCCGCGGUAAUUC